rnacentral:rRNA from 1 species
AACGCGCAGUACCUUACCAGCCCUUGACGUGUAUAGGACGAUAUCAGAGAUGGUAUUUUCUAUUACGGAGACCUUUCCACAGGUGCUGCAUGGCGGUCGUCAGCUCGUGUCGUGAGAUGUUGGGUGAAGUUCCGCAACGAGCUCAACCCCUUCCUCUAGUUGCCAUCAAGUUUAGGUUUUUACCUAGAUGUUGGGUACUUUAUAGGGACUGCCGGUGAUAAGCCGGAGGAAGGUGGGGAUGACGUCAAGUCCUCCUGGCCGUUAUGGGCUGGGCUCCACACCUGCUCCACUGGUGGUUGCAAUGGGUUGAGAAGUCACGAGGCGGAGCUAAUUCCUAAAAGCCAUCUCAGCUGGGAUUGCUCUGUGCAACUCGAGUGCAUGAAGUCAGGAAUUGCUAGUAAUCGUGGAUCAGCAUGCCGCGGUGAAUACGUUUUCGUUCUUUGUACACACCGCCCCUCACACCAUGGGAGUUGGUUUUGCCUGAAGACGGUGUGCUAACCGCAACGAGGCAGCCGGCCCCGGUAGGGUCAGCGACGGGGGUGAAGUAGUAACAAGGUAACCA